UACGUAGGGGGCAAGCGUUGUCCGGAAUCAUUGGGCGUAAAGAGCGUGUAGGCGGUCCGGCAAGUCGGCUGUGAAAGCCCAGGGCUCAACCCUGGGAUGCCGGUCGAUACUGCCGGACUAGAGUUCGGAAGAGGCGAGUGGAAUUCCCGGUGUAGCGGUGAAAUGCGCAGAUAUCGGGAGGAACACCUAUGGCGAAGGCAGCUCGCUGGGACGUUACUGACGCUGAGACGCGAAAGCGUGGGGAGCAAACAGG
rnacentral:rRNA from 1 species